rnacentral:tRNA from 1 species
GCGUGUAGCUCAACGGUAGAGCGUCUAGCUUAUAUCUAGAUGGCCGGGGGUUCGACUCCCUCCACGCCC